GGAGGAGCUGAUGGAGGCCCUGACUGGUGGAGGAACCGAUGGAGGCCCUGCCUGGUGGAGGAACCGAUGGAGGCCCUGCCUGGUGGAGGAACCAAUGGAGGCCCUGCCUGGUUGAGGAUUUCUGUCGUUGGGUAGAUGGAGCCCGACUCUGAAACUAUGAAUCUGUCUGAAGAGAGCUGGUGGGGGAGCUGAGAAGCUGUAAGACGAUUAGGAAUUGACAACAAGGAUUCCUUACGUUGGGGCCAGAUUUGAGCUGUUUGUUCCAGACCAUGACUCUGGCUGAGGAGUGCUGAUGGAGGAGCCAAGACUCUGGAGGACGACAUCACUCUACCAACAAGGAUCCUCGUCAGUUUGCAUAAAGAAUCUGGAGGACUGACGGAGAAGCCAUACCUGUGGAAGG